GGCUCCAUCGUCUAGUGGUUAGGACGUCGCUCUGUCACGGCGGAGAUGGGGGUUCAAUUCCCCCUGGGGCCG
rnacentral:tRNA from 1 species